AACUGGCCUGAUCGAAGCUGGGGUCUUGCGAAACCCUCCUUGACCCUAGUCAAAAACGUGGCCUAGAGUAAAUCGACUUGUCGACGGUCAUUGAACGUUCCACAACCCAUGGCGUAUCAAUAACAUAUUUGAUGAGUUACAGAU